AUUCCGGUUGAUCCUGCCGGAGGUCACUGCUAUUGGGAUUCGACUAAGCCAUGCGAGUCGUGAGGGUUCGGCCCUCGGCUGACGGCUCAGUAACACGCGGAUAAUCUGCCCUUAGGUGAAGGAUAAUCUCGGGAAACUGAGAAUAAUACUCCAUAGGUCUAGGAUGCUGGAAUGCACUUAGGCCGAAAGCUUCGGCGCCUAAGG
rnacentral:rRNA from 1 species